UCGCCCACGGACAGGUAGAGGCUGUUGACCCAAGAGCUGCUGCAACACCAACACAAGACUGUUUACACUGGACAGGGUCGAACGUAGCAACACAAAGAAGGAGGAACGGAAAGAGGCUUUAAAAAGUGAAGGGAAAGUUAAGGAUGUUCAGAAGAAUGCAGGAACCGCUUCACCGAUAUAAACCGCAAGAAUUACCUGAAGCUCAUGUCAGAUUGGAAGGAAACUGCAAUUUUCUAUUAGAUAAAGGUUUGGACUUUGACUGGGCCAUUCUAACACAUGAACAUCUUUUCAUCUAAACCAGCUCUGGCUGCAUGUUUUGGUCUUAAAUCGUCUGCAGCUUCUUGGUUCCAUGUUUCCAUCAAAUCAGGCCAGCUUCUCUGUUCCUGCUGGAGAAACGAACCCCCAGAGCAUGACGCUACCACUACCAUGUCUUAAACCUGGGGAUGGUUUGUUCAGGUUUCUUUACAUCACAUCCUUUUCCUGCAGCAGUCAGUGUAAAGAGAUGAGCAGCCGGAUCCACAAAAUGCCCGAGUGUUUUGACUGAAAGGCCGUCAGUGUUUUUAAAGAAGUCCUUCCUGAAUUCCUGAAUUCGUUGAGACGGUUUUCAGACAUCCUGUAAGUCUGAUGACAUCAUGUUGGCGCAAACCUUUUACUUUUUUCAGCGUUUAAGUAUCAGACAACAAUAGAAAAAGAAAGCAACAGCUGCUGAACAACAGAUUGUUUAAAUUUAGCGAUCUGUAACGAGCUAAAACUUACUAUUUUAGUUAGUGUUAAUAAACAUUAGCUUCCACAUUUGUUAAUAAUGUAACGUCCCAUAUUUACAGUAAAACACAGUGCUGCCUUUGCUGUGCUGAUCUGCUCAUGUUUCCCUGCACCAGCAUUAGCAAUAGCAUUAGCAUUAUCAUUAGCAUUAGGUUUUGUAUUGUUUUUCUGCUGCAACAGAGGAGGAAAGUAGAUGCAUCUGGGCUGCUUUGGAGAAACGCCAAGUUUUCUUCUCUUUCUUCUAAAAUGGA